GGGGAGUGCGUCCUGGGGAGGCGACGGAGCGGAGGUGCUGAGGGAGAAAAAAAGUCCCAACCUCAUUUGGAAUUACAGCUUCAGCUAUUUAAGUGUCAGGGUAGAGAAGAAACUUGGAACAAGCGUGACAGAUGCGGAGAAGAGUGGGAAGAAUUAAAGAGAUUUAAGGGUAUAAGAACUGAAUGUAGGAAAACGUGAGAAAAGGAAAAUAAUGCUAAAGAAGAAGAGAACUCUCAGCCCACAAACCCCUGAGCAAAGAAUUAAGAUGUCGUUAUCAGCCAUCUGUUCCUGGUCCUGCUUGCAAUUUCUUCCAUCAAAGAAAUAAUUCCAGGCAUGAAACACCUCAUUGGAGCAACAAUCACCUGAAACCGCCAGGGUGCUGCGAUACAAGGGCAGGCCUGGCUUGCAGGAAGAACAGCGAUUGACAAGACCUCCUCAUUUCACUUUCCUCCCUCCUCCCUGUU
rnacentral:lncRNA from 1 species